CAGUCGCCGCGGUAAUACGUAGGGUGCGAGCGUUAAUCGGAAUUACUGGGCGUAAAGCGUGCGCAGGCGGUUGUGUAAGACAGGUGUGAAAUCCCCGGGCUUAACCUGGGAACUGCGUUUGUGACUGCACAGCUAGAGUAUGGCAGAGGGGGGUGGAAUUCCACGUGUAGCGGUGAAAUGCGUAGAUAUCGGAAGGAACACCUGUGGCGAAAGCGGCUCACUGGACCAUAACUGACGCUGAUGCACGAAAGCUAGGGGAGCAAACAGGAUUAGAUACCCCAGUAGUCCCUGUCUCUUAUAC
rnacentral:rRNA from 1 species